rnacentral:rRNA from 1 species
CUACGGGAGGCAGCAGUGAGGAAUAUUGCACAAUGGGGGGAACCCUGAUGCAGCAACGCCGCGUGGAGGAUGACGCAUUUCGGUGUGUAAACUCCUUUUAUAUGUCAAGAAAAUGACGGUAGCAUAUGAAUAAGCACCGGCUAACUCCGUGCCAGCAGCCGCGGUAAUACGGAGGGUGCAAGCGUUACUCGGAAUCACUGGGCGUAAAGGGCGCGUAGGCGGGUUGGGAAGUCAGGUGUGAAAUCCUACAGCUUAACUGUAGAACUGCACUUGAAACUUCUAAUCUAGAGUAUGGGAGGGGGAGAUGGAAUUAGUGGUGUAGGGGUAAUAUCCGUAGAUAUCACUAGGAAUACCUAAAGCGAAGGCGAUCUCCUGGAACAUUACUGACGCUAAGGCGUGAAAGCGUGGGGAGCAAACAGGAUUAGAUACCCCAGUAGUC